AGUGGACGCUGGCGGUAGGCCUAACACAUGCAAGUCGAACGGCAGCACAGUAAGAGCUUGCUCUUACGGGUGGCGAGUGGCGGACGGGUGAGGAAUACAUCGGAAUCUACUUUUUCGUGGGGGAUAACGUAGGGAAACUUACGCUAAUACCGCAUACGACCUACGGGUGAAAGCAGGGGAUCUUCGGACCUUGCGCGAUUGAAUGAGCCGAUGUCGGAUUAGCUAGUUGGCGGGGUAAAGGCCCACCAAGGCGACGAUCCGUAGCUGGUCUGAGAGGAUGAUCAGCCACACUGGAACUGAGACACGGUCCAGACUCCUACGGGAGGCAGCAGUGGGGAAUAUUGGACAAUGGGCGCAAGCCUGAUCCAGCCAUACCGCGUGGGUGAAGAAGGCCUUCGGGUUGUAAAGCCCUUUUGUUGGGAAAGAAAAGCAGCAGGUUAAGACCCCGCUGUUCUGACGGUACCCAAAGAAUAAGCACCGGCUAACUUCGU
rnacentral:rRNA from 1 species